GGCGUGCCUAAUACAUGCAAGUAGAACGCUGAAGAGAGGAGCUUGCUCUUCUUGGAUGAGUUGCGAACGGGUGAGUAACGCGUAGGUAACCUGCCUUGUAGCGGGGGAUAACUAUUGGAAACGAUAGCUAAUACCGCAUAACAAUGGAUGACCCAUGUCAUUUAUUUGAAAGGGGCAAAUGCUCCACUACAAGAUGGACCUGCGUUGUAUUAGCUAGUAGGUGAGGUAACGGCUCACCUAGGCGACGAUACAUAGCCGACCUGAGAGGGUGAUCGGCCACACUGGGACUGAGACACGGCCCAGACUCCUACGGGAGGCAGCAGUAGGGAAUCUUCGGCAAUGGGGGCAACCCUGACCGAGCAACGCCGCGUGAGUGAAGAAGGUUUUCGGAUCGUAAAGCUCUGUUGUAAGUCAAGAACGAGUGUGAGAGUGGAAAGUUCACACUGUGACGGUAGCUUACCAGAAAGGGACGGCUAACUACGUGCCAGCAGCCGCGGUAAUACGUAGGUCCCGAGCGUUGUCCGGAUUUAUUGGGCGUAAAGCGAGCGCAGGCGGUUUGAUAAGUCUGAAGUUAAAGGCUGUGGCUCAACCAUAGUUCGCUUUGGAAACUGUCAAACUUGAGUGCAGAAGGGGAGAGUGGAAUUCCAUGUGUAGCGGUGAAAUGCGUAGAUAUAUGGAGGAACACCGGUGGCGAAAGCGGCUCUCUGGUCUGUAACUGACGCUGAGGCUCGAAAGCGUGGGGAGCGAACAGGAUUAGAUACCCUGGUAGUCCACGCCGUAAACGAUGAGUGCUAGGUGUUGGAUCCUUUCCGGGAUUCAGUGCCGCAGCUAACGCAUUAAGCACUCCGCCUGGGGAGUACGACCGCAAGGUUGAAACUCAAAGGAAUUGACGGGGGCCCGCACAAGCGGUGGAGCAUGUGGUUUAAUUCGAAGCAACGCGAAGAACCUUACCAGGUCUUGACAUCCCGAUGCUAUUUCUAGAGAUAGAAAGUUACUUCGGUACAUCGGUGACAGGUGGUGCAUGGUUGUCGUCAGCUCGUGUCGUGAGAUGUUGGGUUAAGUCCCGCAACGAGCGCAACCCCUAUUGUUAGUUGCCAUCAUUCAGUUGGGCACUCUAGCGAGACUGCCGGUAAUAAACCGGAGGAAGGUGGGGAUGACGUCAAAUCAUCAUGCCCCUUAUGACCUGGGCUACACACGUGCUACAAUGGUUGGUACAACGAGUUGCGAGUCGGUGACGGCAAGCUAAUCUCUUAAAGCCAAUCUCAGUUCGGAUUGUAGGCUGCAACUCGCCUACAUGAAGUCGGAAUCGCUAGUAAUCGCGGAUCAGCACGCCGCGGUGAAUACGUUCCCGGGCCUUGUACACACCGCCCGUCACACCACGAGAGUUUGUAACACCCGAAGUCGGUGAGGUAACCUUUUGGAGCCAGCCGCCUAAGGUGGGAUAGAUGAUUGGGGUGAAG
rnacentral:rRNA from 1 species